UGAGUUUGAUCAUGGCUCAGGACGAACGCUGGCGGCGUGCUUAACACAUGCAAGUCGAACGAUGAAGCCCAGCUUGCUGGGUGGAUUAGUGGCGAACGGGUGAGUAAUACGUGAGUAACCUGCCUUUAACUCUGGGAUAAGCCUUGGAAACGGGGUCUAAUACCGGAUACGACCAGUUCCCGCAUGGGAUGCUGGUGGAAAGGGAUAUGUACUGGUUUUAGAUGGGCUCACGGCCUAUCAGCUUGUUGGUGAGGUAACGGCUCACCAAGGCGACGACGGGUAGCCGGCCUGAGAGGGUGACCGGCCACACUGGGACUGAGACACGGCCCAGACUCCUACGGGAGGCAGCAGUGGGGAAUAUUGCACAAUGGGCGCAAGCCUGAUGCAGCGACGCCGCGUGAGGGAUGACGGCCUUCGGGUUGUAAACCUCUUUCAGCAGGGAAGAAGCGAAAGUGACGGUACCUGCAGAAGAAGCGCCGGCUAACUACGUGCCAGCAGCCGCGGUAAUACGUAGGGCGCGAGCGUUGUCCGGAAUUAUUGGGCGUAAAGAGCUUGUAGGCGGUUUGUCGCGUCUGCUGUGAAAGCCCGGGGCUUAACCCCGGGUUUGCAGUGGGUACGGGCUAACUAGAGUGCAGUAGGGGAGACUGGAAUUCCUGGUGUAGCGGUGAAAUGCGCAGAUAUCAGGAGGAACACCAAUGGCGAAGGCAGGUCUCUGGGCUGUAACUGACGCUGAGAAGCGAAAGCAUGGGGAGCAAACAGGAUUAGAUACCCUGGUAGUCCAUGCCGUAAACGUUGGGCACUAGGUGUGGGGGACAUUCCACGUUUA
rnacentral:rRNA from 1 species